AUUGAACGCUGGCGGCAGGCUUAACACAUGCAAGUCGAGCGGGGGAAGGUAGCUUGCUACCGGACCUAGCGGCGGACGGGUGAGUAAUGCUUAGGAAUCUGCCUAUUAGUGGGGGACAACAUCUCGAAAGGGAUGCUAAUACCGCAUACGUCCUACGGGAGAAAGCAGGGGAUCUUCGGACCUUGCGCUAAUAGAUGAGCCUAAGUCGGAUUAGCUAGUUGGUGGGGUAAAGGCCUACAAAGGCGACGAUCUGUAGCGGGUCUGAGAGGAUGAUCCGCGUCACUGGGAUUGAGACACGGCCCAGACUCCUACGGGAGGCAGCAGUGGGGAAUAUUGGACAAUGGGGGGAACCCUGAUCCAGCCAUGCCGCGUGUGUGAAGAAGGCCUUAUGGUUGUAAAGCACUUUAAGCGAGGAGGAGGCUACUUUAGUUAAUACCUAGAGAUAGUGGACGUUACUCGCAGAAUAAGCACCGGCUAACUCUGUGCCAGCAGCCGCCGUAA
rnacentral:rRNA from 1 species